UGAGGAAUAUUGGACAAUGGAUGGAAAUCUGAUCCAGCCAUGCCGCGUGCAGGAAGAAUGCCCUAUGGAUUGUAAACUGCUUUUGUAUGGGAGCAAUAAGGUCUUCGUGAAGGCCGAUGAGAGUACCUUACGAAUAAGCACCGGCUAACUCCGUGCCAGCAGCCGCGGUAAUACGGAGGGUGCAAGCGUUAUCCGGAUUUAUUGGGUUUAAAGGGUGCGUAGGCGGUUAUAUAAGUCAGCGGUGAAAUUUUUCGGCUCAACCGGAAACCUGCCGUUGAUACUGUAUAGCUUGAAUAUGGUAGAGGUGAGUGGAAUUUGUAGUGUAGCGGUGAAAUGCGUAGAUAUUAGACAGAAUACCGAUGGCGAAGGCACCUCACAGGGCCAUUAUUGACGCUGAGGCACGAAAGUGUGGGGAUCAAACA
rnacentral:rRNA from 1 species